rnacentral:rRNA from 2 species
AGACCCGAAACCCGGUGAUCUAGCCAUGGGCAGGUUGAAGGUUGGGUAACACUAACUGGAGGACCGAACCGACUAAUGUUGAAAAAUUAGCGGAUGACCUGUGGCUGGGGGUGAAAGGCCAAUCAAACCGGGAGAUAGCUGGUUCUCCCCGAAAGCUAUUUAGGUAGCGCCUCGUGAAUUCAUCUCCGGGGGUAGAGCACUGUUUCGGCUAGGGGGCCAUCCCGGCUUACCAACCCGAUGCAAACUGCGAAUACCGGAGAAUGUUAUCACGGGAGACACACGGCGGGUGCUAACGUCCGUCGUGAAGAGGGAAACAACCCAGACCGCCAGCUAAGGUCCCAAAGUCAUGGUUAAGUGGGAAACGAUGUGGGAAGGCCCAGACAGCCAGGAUGUUGGCUUAGAAGCAGCCAUCAUUUAAAGAAAGCGUAAUAGCUCACUGGUCGAGUCGGCCUGCGCGGAAGAUGUAACGGGGCUAAACCAUGCACCGAAGCUGCGGCAGCGAACGUAUCACCCAAGACAACUUUACGGAGUUGACGAUUGACGGAGCGAAGCGACGUCAAAGCGUUCAUUAAAGUCGAGUUGGCUUAGGGAUACGUUCGUUGGGUAGGGGAGCGUUCUGUAAGCCUGUGAAGGUGUGUCGUGAGGCAUGCUGGAGGUAUCAGAAGUGCGAAUGCUGACAUAAGUAACGAUAAAGCGGGUGAAAAGCCCGCUCGCCGGAAGACCAAGGGUUCCUGUCCAACGUUAAUCGGGGCAGGGUGAGUCGACCCCUAAGGCGAGGCCGAAAGGCGUAGUCGAUGGGAAACGGGUUAAUAUUCCCGUACUUGGUGUUACUGCGAAGGGGGGACGGAGAAGGCUAUGUUGGCCGGGCGACGGUUGUCCCGGUUUAAGCGUGUAGGUGUGUGUUCCAGGUAAAUCCGGUUCACUUUAACACUGAGGCGUGAUGACGAGG